GUUCGAGUGGAACCAGGAGCACCAGAAGGCCUUCGAGAGAAUCAAGGCGGCCUUGACCUCGCCUCAGACCAUGAUAGCCCCGCAGCUCGGGGUGCCUCUAAUGUUGUACUUAACUUCAACCCCCAAGGGCAUUAUUGGUCCAAGAUGUAGAUGGAGUAGAACGCCCGGUGUAUUACAUCAGUCGGAAGAUUCGAGGAGCAGAAGUCCGAUAUACUCCAGUAGAGAGACAUUGUUUAGCUUUGGUAUUCACUGCCCAAAAGCUCAGACAUUACUUCCUAGCACAUCAGAUUCAGAUUGUUACUAGAAGUGAUCCAAU